rnacentral:lncRNA from 1 species
GUUGGAAUUGCUGCACGUCCUUUCCAAUCGUCAGCAACUCCACAAAUUUGAUCAGAAAUGCACCACAAUCAGUCCUAAAAUAAGAGAAAGAUAUGCAACGAAUUAAACAACAAAAUAUUAAGUUCGUAUAAAUACUACAACGAAUAACAAUACGUACGAUCCAGUUUGGUGUGGUGAUAUUUGCCAUUAUAUAUCAAACUUGUUGAAGACAUUCCCAAAAGACUUAUGAUGCUUGUCAAACUGUGCAAACCUUAGCAUGUGGGGGAUCAUGCGCGCAUACAUUUCCAUAUGAUUCAUUCCAGCUUCAUAUGGCUCACUGUAUAUGGAAUCAUAUACAUCAAUCUUUUUCAGAUUCAAGUCCAAAACUCCCAGCAGAAAAUGUGUCACAGCUUUGUCAUCUUCUGAAGGAAGGCGACAUGGGAAAAAGAUUUUAUCAACCUCAGUCCAAGCAAUCCCACAUCUGCGGUUGUCCCUCCACACAUAUGGUGUUAGAAAUAACAAGUCAUCACUAGAACACCAAAAAUCAUCACUAGCAUCUUCACUAAAAUCCUUAUACACACAGGCCAUGAAGUUAUCAAAAAGAAUGUCAGUAGUUGAGCAUUUAAAAGGAUGAUCGCGGGGGUGGUAGCAUUCCUUGUUUCUCAGAUAAUAUAGCGCAAUGUCAAUAUGCUUCAUAAAAAGGCAAACAAUAAACAAAUCCAUUAGUAAUACAAAAAUCCCACAUCUGCGGCUGUCCCCCCACACAUAUGAUGUUAGAAACAACGAGUCAUCAGUAGCACACCAAAAAUCAUCAC